CCUACGGGAGGCAGCAGUGGGGAAUAUUGCACAAUGGGGGAAACCCUGAUGCAGCGACGCCGCGUGAGUGAAGAAGUACUUCGGUAUGUAAAGCUCUAUCAGCAGGGAAGAAGAAAGACGGUACCUGACCAAGACGCCCCGGCUAACUCCGUGCCAGCAGCAGCGGUAAUCCGUGGGGUGCAAGCGUUAACCGGAUUUACUGGGUGGAAAGGGAGCGUAGGCGGCUGGGUAAGUCUGAAGUGAAAGCCCAGGGCUCAACCCUGGGACUGCGUUGGAGACUGUGGAGCUAGAGUGCUGGAGAGGUAAGUAGAAUUCCAGGUGUAGCGGUGAAAUGCGUAGAGAUUAGGAGGAACACCAGUGGCGAAGGCGGCUGACUGGACAGUAACUGACGUUGAGGCUCGAAAGCGUGGGGAGCAAACAGGAUUAGAUACCCCGGUAGUC
rnacentral:rRNA from 1 species